GUGGUGAAGGAGCAGAAGUAACCAUGAAGCAACGGAGAAAGAUAGAUCCAACCCCGAGGCAUUUGGAGGAUCGCAAUAUGCCACCACCAUUGUGUGAGGUGCCACCACCAGACUGCAGAGGUUCAAGACCCACAUUCAAACCUCAGUUUACCACACCACCUACUAGCCUUCUGACUUGGGCAAGUCAUUUAAACUCUCUGAGCCUCGCUCCCCUAAUCUGUCCAACUGGCAUCAUGAUAGAACUUCCUUCAUAGGAUUGUUGAAAGAAC
rnacentral:lncRNA from 1 species